CAUUUCCCACCUUUGGAUACGAAGGCAACAGACUGGGGGGAAAUUCAGUCUAUGCAGAGGUGCAGAGCUCUGACAGUUCACAGAACAGCACUAUCAGAAAAUGGAGUGAUCAGGUGACAUCGCUGCCUCCUCUUCUGGGGUCUCUGUCGGUCUCCAACAGACGACCUAUGAAUUGGAACGUUGCGUCAACAUCAAGGCAGGGUAAACUGAUAGGAACCUUGGACGCGAUCCACUCUGUGCAAUGAACAACUCACUGAUUCAUGACAAGAGGGAGAGAUGGAAAACAGGCCUUCACAAGAGAGGAGAAGGAAAGUCUGCAAGCGUGUGAAGAAGAAAAUAAAAGGUAGAUGGAAAAUACAUCGGCACUGAAGUAAGAACGUAGAUGCCACACUGACAGUAAACUAUGUGUGUCAAAUU